rnacentral:lncRNA from 1 species
AGAGACAUACGUUCAAAGACGAGUACGAGAGGAACCUCCAAUCGUUCAGCAGAUCCCAAAAGCUGUUCCGCGUGAAGCCCCCAUCUCAAGAGCCAUGCCACUACGCAAAGCCCUGUCCAUUCAGAACAUUGCCCAGAUUGAUAUACCAUGGGAGGGAGUGACGCUUAACCGCUGCCUCAUCAUCGCAAUAACCAUACUGGUCGUCACCUCAGGUCUCCAGAGACUAGGAGAGGCCAUACGAGGCCGCAAAGACGGAAGUGAUGUAGACGCCAUCGAUACUGCACUUAAUAUGAGACACACUGCAAUCAGGAAGGGGCGACUACCACCACCUCAGCCUGAGACCUCUCUAUGGGACACCUUCUGGUCGUGGGUCAGCGAUGAUGAUGACGACGAUGAUAAACGAGGCAAACGGGGCAAAUCCAGGAAAGGUGCUCAGGAGAGCUCGAACAGAGGCCUCAGACACAAAGCCAUCCCAAACAGAAACCUGCUGAAGGGAAGACAAGACAGAUUUAAAGCACGGAGAGAAAAAGCAAGAGAGCAGGACGAAGAGGAGACGAAAGAAAGAGUGAAAGGACAAAGAGCGAAGGAGAAAAGACUGAAACAGGAGAAGCUUGAGGAAGAGGAGCAGGAGAAACAGAAGACGGAGAAGGAAGAGAAGAUACCCAAGAAGAAAUCAAAAGAAGGCAAGAAAAAAGACAAGGAUAGGAAAGAGUAAAUAUAGUGAUAUAUAAGGGAAUAAGGGAACGAUGGGAUGCCAGGAAGACCCUGAAAAAGAGUGGAGGGAACUAGUUAUUGUAAGGAGAUGUCUAUGAGUCUAUGACAGGUGCUACUAAAGGUUUCUCUCAGGAAGACUUGGAAGCUUAAGUUGAGGAGCAGGUCUGAAUGGGUAAAUGCACUAAUAUUAGCUUGAUUAGAUUAGCCAACCCUAGAAUUGCUAUUUACUUGUUAAUCCUAAUGCAUUACAUUACAUUACAUUACAUUACGUCUAUUUACAAUAGUGAAGUAAUAAAAAUGCAAUAAUGCAGAAACUGUUAGAAAUU